rnacentral:rRNA from 1 species
AGUGAACGCUGGCGGUAGGCCUAACACAUGCAAGUCGAACGGCAGCACAGUAAGAGCUUGCUCUUACGGGUGGCGAGUGGCGGACGGGUGAGGAAUACAUCGGAAUCUACUUUUUCGUGGGGGAUAACGUAGGGAAACUUACGCUAAUACCGCAUACGACCUACGGGUGAAAGCAGGGGAUCUUCGGACCUUGCGCGAUUGAAUGAGCCGAUGUCGGAUUAGCUAGUUGGCGGGGUAAAGGCCCACCAAGGCGACGAUCCGUAGCUGGUCUGAGAGGAUGAUCAGCCAACCGGGACCUGAGACACGGUCCAGACUCCUACGGGAGGCAGCAUUGGGGAAUAUUGGACAAUGGGGGAAAGCCUGAUCCAGCCAUACCGCGUGGGUGAAGAAGGCCUUCGGGUUGUAAAGCCCUUUUGUUGGGAAAGAAAAGCAGCAGGUUAAAACCCCGCUGUUCUGACGGUACCAAAGAAUAAGCACCGGCUAACUUCGUG